rnacentral:ncRNA from 1 species
AAAGGGGUUUAGUUCUUUCGGCUAUGAGGGCUUGCUCGUUCUGCUUUACAAUUAACAACUAAUUUAGAACUGUGACGAUCACGGGGAAUCCAACUGUUUAAUUAAAACAAAGCAUUGCGAAUAGCUGAAAAGCCCUUGACGCAAUGUGAUUUCUGCCCAGUGCUCUGAAUGUCAAAGUGAAGAGAUUCAACCUAGCCUUCCCUUAUCUACAUUAAUACAUUUGACCAGAGGCUAUUCACCUUGGAGACCUGAUGUGGUUAUUGGUACGAACACUUCAAGGGACUAAAUACCAUAAUCCGGUUUUCAAGGACCAAUUAACGGAUGCGAGACCCA